AUGGACCAGCCGAAGAAGCAGCAGCCCAGCGCCGCCCCGUCGCGGGCGGCGCCAGCACCGAAGAAGUCGACGUCGACGCUCCUUGACGCGUUCGAGGUGGACUGCAUCAGGCGGGAGCUGGAGAGUCUCCUCCUCAAGCAGAACGCCGGCGAGGGCUCGGCAUCCAGCAGCAGCGACGCCGCGGCGGAAAUACUCGGCCUCAGUCGUCCCCGUCGCCACAGCAACAAGAAGACGAUCAGUGCCAAGAACGCUAUACCCGCGCCGCCGCCACCACCACCUGCCAAGAAGCUCUCGGGCGGCGGGGCGCGGCUACGUCUGGGGAAGCACGCAGUGAAGCUAUGCAGCGGCGCCCUGGCCGUUUCCCCCGCCGUUGAAAACGGCCGGAGGCCGCGGCGCGCGGGCUACCGGGAGGUGGAGAAGGUGUAG
rnacentral:rRNA from 1 species